rnacentral:rRNA from 1 species
UACAGAGGUCUCAAGCGUUGUUCGGAUUCAUUGGGCGUAAAGGGUGCGUAGGCGGCGCGGUAAGUCGGGUGUGAAAUCUCGGAGCUUAACUCCGAAACUGCAUUCGAUACUGCCGUGCUUGAGGACUGGAGAGGAGACUGGAAUUUACGGUGUAGCAGUGAAAUGCGUAGAGAUCGUAAGGAAGACCAGUGGCGAAGGCGAGUCCCUGGACAACUCCUGACACUGAGGCACGAAAGCUAGGGGAGCAAACAGG